CCCUAGAGCCUGGGAUAGCCAUCCGAAAGGGUGGGUAAUACCAGAUGAAAUAACUUUGUCGCAUGGCAGAGUUCUCAAAGCGGCAAUGCACUCCUGGAGCAGGCGAUAUCGUAUCAGCUAGUUGGUGAGGUAACGGCUCACCAAGGCGACGACGCGUAGCCGGGCUGAGAGGUUGACCGGCCACAUUGGGACUGAGACACUGCCCAG
rnacentral:rRNA from 1 species